AUGAACGCUGGCGGCGUGCCUAAUACAUGCAAGUCGAGCGAACAGAUAAGGAGCUUGCUCCUUUGACGUUAGCGGCGGACGGGUGAGUAACACGUGGGUAACCUACCUAUAAGACUGGGAUAACUUCGGGAAACCGGAGCUAAUACCGGAUAACAUUUGGAACCGCAUGGUUCUAAAGUGAAAGAUGGUUUUGCUAUCACUUAUAGAUGGACCCGCGCCGUAUUAGCUAGUUGGUAAGGUAACGGCUUACCAAGGCAACGAUACGUAGCCGACCUGAGAGGGUGAUCGGCCACACUGGAACUGAGACACGGUCCAGACUCCUACGGGAGGCAGCAGUGGGGAAUCUUCCGCAAAGGGCGAAAGCCUGACGGAGCAACGCCGCGUGAGUGAUGAAGGGUUUCGGCUCGUAAAACUCUGUUAUUAGGGAAGAACAAAUGUGUAAGUAACUGUGCACGUCUUGACGGUACCUAAUCAGAAAGCCACGGCUAACUACGUG
rnacentral:rRNA from 1 species